rnacentral:rRNA from 1 species
UACGUAGGGGGCGAGCGUUAUCCGGAUUUACUGGGCGUAAAGCGCGUUAAGGCGGUUGGCAAAGUUGGUGGUGAAAUCUCAGGGCUCAACCCUGAAACUGCCUCCAAUACUGGUCAACUAGAGUGCGAGAGAGGAAGGUGGAAUUCCCGGUGUAGUAGUGAAAUGCGUAGAUAUCGGGAGGAACACCAGUGGCGAAGGCGGCCUCUGGCUCGUAACUGACGCUGUAGCGCGAAAGCGUGGAGGCGAGG